CCUACGGGGUGCAGCAGUCGAGAAUCAUUCACAAUGGGGGAAACCCUGAUGGUGCGACGCCGCGUGGGGGAAUGAAGGUCUUCGGAUUGUAAACCCCUGUCAUGUGGGAGCAAAUUAAAAAGAUAGUACCACAAGAGGAAGAGACGGCUAACUCUGUGCCAGCAGCCGCGGUAAUACAGAGGUCUCAAGCGUUGUUCGGAAUCACUGGGCGUAAAGCGUGCGUAGGCUGUUUCGUAAGUCGUGUGUGAAAGGCGCGGGCUCAACCCGCGGACGGCACAUGAUACUGCGAGACUAGAGUAGUGGAGGGGGAACCGGAAUUCUCGGUGUAGCAGUGAAAUGCGUAGAUAUCGAGAGGAACACUCGUGGCGAAGGCGGGUUCCUGGACAUUAACUGACGCUGAGGCACGAAGGCCAGGGGAGCGAAAGGGAUUAGAUACCCCGGUAGUC
rnacentral:rRNA from 1 species